rnacentral:rRNA from 1 species
GUGCCAGCCGCCGCGGUAAUACGGAGGAUCCGAGCGUUAUCCGGAUUCAUUGGGUUUAAAGGGUGCGCAGGCGGGCCGGUAAGCCCGCGGUGAAAUACCGGCGCUCAACGUCGGCCGUGCCGCGGGAACUGCCAGCCUUGAGUCGUGGCGAGGGCGGCGGAAUGCGGGGUGUAGCGGUGAAAUGCUUAGAUACCCCGCAGAACACCGAUUGCGAAGGCAGCCGCCCAGGGACGCACUGACGCUGAGGCACGAAGGCAUGGGGAUCGAACAGGAUUAGAUACCCUGGUAGUCCAUGCAGUAAACGAUGAGCGCUCGCCCUGCGGGGGUUACCCUGCGGGGCUUAGCGAAAGCGUUAAGCGCUCCACCUGGGGAGUACGCCGGCAACGGUGAAACUCAAAGGAAUUGACGGGGGCCCGCACAAGCGGAGGAACAUGUGGUUAAUUCGAUGAUACGCGAGGAACCUUACCCGGGCUUGAAAGUUAGCGACGGGCUCAGAGAUGAGCCUUCCCCUCGGGGCGCGAAACUAGGUGCUGCAUGGUUGUCGUCAGCUCGUGCCGUGAGGUGUUGGCUUAAGUGCCAUAACGAGCGCAACCCCCGCUCUCAGUUGCCAUCGGGUAGUGCCGGGCACUCUGCGAGGACUGCCACCGUAAGGUGCGAGGAAGGUGGGGAUGACGUCAAAUCAGCACGGCCCUUACGUCCGGGGCGACACACGUGUUACAAUGGCGCGCACAGAGGGAUGCCACCCCGCGAGGGGGAGCGGACCCCGAAAGCGCGCCCUAGUUCGGACUGGAGUCUGCAACCCGACUCCACGAAGCUGGAUUCGCUAGUAAUCGCGCAUCAGCCAUGGCGCGGUGAAUACGUUACCCGGGCCUUGUACACACCGCCCGU